AAGUCGUAACAAGGUAACCGUAGGUGAACCUGCGGUUGGAUCAUUACCAAAAACGGGGUUGCAGGGAGGGUGCUGUUUAACGACGGCCCUCUCUGCGCUCUUUAUCCCCCUGUGUGAACUGUUUUCUGUAUUCUUUGGCAGCCCUCCAAAACGGAGAUGUCUCUCUCUGCACUUUGAGUGUGGUGGAGGUGUCUCUUGGGCGGUCAUACCCCAUUGUUUAUUCAACUCAUGUCAACACUCAUUAUGAAAGUCUUGAUUUAGUGUUGUGUGUGUUUGUGAGAUUGGCCUUUCGACUCUCCUUAUGGAGUGGCAAAAGGUGGGUCCCGCAUCAUUAUUCACCACUAAAACACCGUAAAAAAACAUUUUUACAACUUUUGACAACGGAUCUCUUGGCUCUC
rnacentral:misc_RNA from 1 species